rnacentral:rRNA from 1 species
AUGAACGCUGGCGGCGUGCUUAACACAUGCACGUCGAACGGAAAGGCCCAAGCUUGCUUGGGUACUCGAGUGGCGAACGGGUGAGUAACACGUGGAUGAUCUGCCCUGCACUUCGGGAUAAGCCUGGGAAACUGGGUCUAAUACCGGAUAGGACCACAUUUUGGAUGGUGUGGUGGAAAGUUUUUCGGUGUGGGAUGAGCUCGCGGCCUAUCAGCUUGUUGGUGGGGUAAUGGCCUACCAAGGCGUCGACGGGUAGCCGGCCUGAGAGGGUGUACGGCCACAUUGGGACUGAGAUACGGCCCAGACUCCUACGGGAGGCAGCAGUGGGGAAUAUUGCACAAUGGGCGCAAGCCUGAUGCAGCGACGCCGCGUGGGGGAUGACGGCCUUCGGGUUGUAAACUCCUUUCGCUAGGGACGAAGCGCAAGUGACGGUACCUGGAGAAGAAGCACCGGCUAGCUACGUG